GGGCAUGUGGUGUAGUUGGUUAUCACGCUCGCUUAGCAACCGCACAUGCGAGAGGGGUCCGGUUCAAUCCCGGACAUGUCCA
rnacentral:tRNA from 2 species